rnacentral:rRNA from 1 species
UACGUAGGGUGCGAGCGUUGUCCGGAAUUACUGGGCGUAAAGAGCUCGUAGGUGGUUUGUCGCGUUGUCCGUGAAAACUCACAGCUUAACUGUGGGCGUGCGGGCGAUACGGGCAGACUGGAGUACUGCAGGGGAGACUGGAAUUCCUGGUGUAGCGGUGGAAUGCGCAGAUAUCAGGAGGAACACCUGCGGCGAAGGCGGGUUGCUGGGCUGACACUGACGCUGAGGCGCGAAAGCCAGGGGAGCGAACGGG